AAAAUAAUCCUACCCUUUGUGAAUUUGUUUGUUUGAAUAAUUUUUUUUUUUAAAAAUUAUUGGAGUCUUUCCCUUUAGAGUUUGCUUUUGAGUUUGUAAAAGAAUUCGAAAACAUCUAAAGGGGAUGGUCAAUAAUUUUUUUUGAAAAAAGACAUUUUUUAAAAUUAAACUUUUUGUAUUCAUUGUCUAAAAAUUAUUUUUUAUAAUAUAAAACAACUUUUGACAAUGGAUCUCUUGGUUCUCGCAACGAUGAAGAACGCAGCAAAAUGCGAUAAGUAGUGUGAAUUGCAGAAUACGUGAAUCAUCGAAUCUUUGAACGCAUAUUGCACUUUUUUAGUUUACUAAAAAAGUAUGUCUGUUUGAGUAUCAGUAAAAUAUUCUCAUAAAAAUCAUUGUGUAUUUUUAUGGUUAUGAGUGUUUUACAACGAUACAAGUUGUUUCACUUUAAAUUUUUUUUUUAAUAUUGAAAUUUUUCUAAUUUUAAUAAUUAAAAUUGGAUAAAAUUUUCCCGUCAAAAGGAAUAACCUAACAAUUUUAAAUGAUUAAUUUUAGCAAAAUUUUCGAAAAAAGGAAAAUUUUUAUUAAAAUAACUUGAUCUCAAUCAGAUAAGAGUACCCGCUGAACUUAAGCAUAUCAAUAAGCGGAGGAAAAGAAACUAACAAGGAUUCCUUAGUAACGGCGAGUGAAGCGGAAGAGCUCAAAUUUGAAAUCUUCAAGGUUUACCUUGACGAAUUGUAGUUUAAAGAAGUGUUUUCUGCUGAAGUUUUGGUAAAAGUUCUUUGGAAUAGGACAUCAUAGAGGGUGAGAAUCCGUAUUUGACCAUUAUUUUCAGCUUUGUGAUACACUUUCAAAGAGUCGGAUUGUUUGGGAAUGCAGUCCAAAAUGGGUGGUAAAUUUCAUCUAAAGCUAAAUAUUGGCGAGAGACCGAUAGCGAACAAGUACCGUGAGGGAAAGAUGAAAAGAACUUUGAAAAGAGAGUUAAACAGUACGUGAAAUUGUCAAAAGGGAAGCGUUUGACACCAGUGUUGUUUUCUCGAAAAUCAAUUAAAAAUGGCUCGAUUUUGUAUUGCUGAGACCUUAAAAGCUCACUGUACAUUUUUCGUGUCUUUUUUAAUGCACUUUUCGUUUAACAAGUCAACAUCAGUUUCUUUUGUUGUAAAGGGUCAUUGGAAGGUGGCUUUCUUUCGGAGAAAGUGUUUAUAGCCUUUGGCCUCUGCAAUCGAGAGACUGAGGUCUGCAGCGUAGACUCUUCGGGGUUAGAUACAUUUGUGCUAAGUUAUAGCUUUUUAUAGACAACUUGUUGACUAUAAUUAGUCUUGUAGCUUACUCGCUUAUGCUAUUUUACCUACGCUUAGGAUG
rnacentral:misc_RNA from 1 species